CUCAGUCACACUGAAUCCUCAUUUUGUUUCUUUUUCUUCAAUGUGGCCCUUGCACUGUGUUUGACUUUAUGCCAUUAAAAAUUUAUGCUUUUUGGAUGACCAAAUUACUUUUUUGAGAUUAAUCCCAUAUUCUUGCUUAUGAUAUAGCUAUUCUGAGCCAGCUUUCUUGUCCCUGGACAAUCUGAAUGGACUCGACCUUGGUGGGGACUGGAGUAUAAAGAGGCACCACUAUUCCUUCUUCCUGCUUCUGCCAACUCAGUUUCCAGUGAGGAAGGUUUAGCAAUAAAGAAAACAUUUACAUGGAAGAGUUAUUACAUGCAUCUGCUUUUCUCUUCCCCUGAGAGCAAUUAUGAACUAUUUGAGAAGGGCUGUCCUUGACUGCAAUAUUUCUAUGUAUCACCACCAGCAGCUGUAGCGAUGGAAGCACCUGUGCAGGCCACCCUGCAGUGAGACAGCAAGUCAUUAACUGUUCUCAGACCUCUUCUAGAGAAAGUGCUAACCCAAACACCAUUAGUCAAUUUGUGGUAGAGUUUGCUUUGUGGAUGUUUAAUACCAAAAUAGCUGAAUAGUUUAAUAUCAUUUCUAGUUCAAUAUCUAAUAGCUAAUUACGUGUCGUAAAAAAACCCCAAAAAAUGAAACAGACAACUGUGUCAAGAAAAAAAUGCUUGCAUGUUUUUUAUUUUUUUAAAAUCUGUAUAAAGCUUGAAUGUAGUGUCAUGGAUGACUUUUUAUGGAAAGCACUCAAAUUUCCUCUAGGUCAGAUUCCUUGGAGAACUUUCUUUUUUCUUAGACCUGGAGGAGCAUUAUUUUCUUGGGAAAUUUUUACCCAUUCACAUUAUCUCAGGGACUCAGAAUUUUGGGCCUUUUAGUUACAGUGCAGCUUGAGAUAGCUAGGAUGAAGAAGCAGGUUGCUUUUCCCACUUCUCCAUGUGCUGCUUUCAUUGACUGUAGGACUGUGAUUACCCCUGAAAUUAUCAAGCC
rnacentral:lncRNA from 1 species